rnacentral:rRNA from 1 species
GAGUCGCUGCGCGGUAUGCCUUAACUUGCACGUCGUAACAGGGUAACCGUAAGUCGGCUCCGGGUAUCCGUAAAGGGUGAACAAUAAUCGGAACGUGCCCGAUCGGGGGGGAUAACGAGGCGAAAGCUUUGCUAAUACCGCAUACGAUCUACGGAUGAAAGCGGGGGAUCUUCGGACCUCGCGCGGACGGAGCGGCCGAUGGCAGAUUAGGUAGUUGGUGGGAUAAAAGCUUACCAAGCCGACGAUCUGUAGCUGGUCUGAGAGGAUGAUCAGCCACACUGGGACUGAGACACGGCCCAGACUCCUACGGGAGGCAGCAGUGGGGAAUUUUGGACAAUGGGCGAAAGCCUGAUCCAGCCAUGCCGCGUGCAGGAUGAAGGCCUUCGGGUUGUAAACUGCUUUUGUACGGAACGAAAAGCCUCUUUCUAAUAAAGAGGGGUCAUGACGGUACCGUAAGAAUAAGCACCGGCUAACUACGUGCCAGC